ACGACCAUAGACUCAAGAGAACUGGGCAUCCCGUCCGCUCUGCCAUACAUAACCUUGAGAUCGGUGGAUUAGUAGUUGGGUGGGUGACCACCAGCGAAUACCCACUGUUGUAUGUU
rnacentral:rRNA from 1 species